rnacentral:rRNA from 1 species
AAUGGUCCGGUGAAGUGUUCGGAUCGCGGCGACACGGGUUGGUCGCUUGCGGCUACAAAGCCCGCGACGUCGCGAGAAGUCCACUGAACCUUAUCAUUUAGAGGAAGGAGAAGUCGUAACAAGGUUUCCGUAGGUGAACCUGCGGAAGGAUCAUUGUCGUUAACCCGAAUAGGAUGACCCGUGCACCGUGAUGGAAUUCCCCGGGGUGGUGAUGCCGCCUCGGCCCGUGGAGCCUUCCCGCCCGCCGGCGGGGAGGCUCCGCGAUUAAAAACCGGCGCGGAUUUGACGCCAAGGUAUACUCUUGAGGGCAGCGACCGGAUGACGGCUGUGCCGUGCGUUCGGCGCCCGAAAAUCAUGGAAUGACUCUCGGCAACGGAUAUCUAGGCUCUCGCAUCGAUGAAGAACGUAGCGAAAUGCGAUACGUGGUGUGAAUUGCAGAAUCCCGUGAACCAUCGAGUUUUUGAACGCAAGUUGCGCCCGAGGCCAUCUGGCCGAGGGCACGCCUGCCUGGGCGUCAGUUGCACUCGAACGCUCCGUGCUCAUAUUCAUGUUGCCGGACGCGAACCCUGGCCCUCCGAGCCCUCGGGCUUGACGGGCCGAAGAGCGUGGCUUGCCGAUUGGGGCCGGAUGUGGCGAGUGGUGGACAAAUCGCUCUCGCGACCCGUACGUCGCCCUCCGUCCCCGUUAGGUAGAAGCCCUCUAAGGAUACCCCGGACAUGAGGGUGCCGACCGGCAACCUCGGACAAAGACCCCAGGUCAGGCGGGACCACCCGCUGAGUUUAAGCAUAUAAUUAAGCGGAGGAGAAGAAACUUACGAGGAUUCCCCUAGUAACGGCGAGCGAACCGGGACCAGCCCAGCCUUGGAAUCACGCGGCGCCGCCGCGCGAAUU